rnacentral:rRNA from 1 species
UACGUAGGGUGCGAGCGUUAAUCGGAUUUACGGGGCGUAAAGCGUGCGCAGGCGGCCCGUUAAGACAGGUGUGAAAUCCCUGGGCUCAACCUAGGAAUUGCGCUUGUGACUGGCGGGCUCGAGUACGGUAGAGGGGGGUGUAAUUCCUGGUGUAGCAGUGAAAUGCGUAGAGAUCAGGAGGAACACCGAUGGCGAAGGCAGCCCCCUGGGCCUGUACUGACGCUCAUGCACGAAAGCGUGGGGAGCAAACAGG